rnacentral:lncRNA from 1 species
UGGGCCGGCUGGGCGGGCCCCGGUGAGCCCUGCACGUCGGGCCUGGCGCUGGGUAGCAGCCGUCGGCUUAGCGCGCCUUUGUCUGCCCCGCCGCGCGUGAAGAUCCCAAGCGUACCGCCAGGCCGAACCUUGGAGCGGAACAAAAGCCCGAAGCGAAGCGGCGAAGCGACCCCAAGCUUGCUAAGUCGCUUGCCCCGAGCGGCGGGGACCGGCCCGCAGGGGUGGGAAGCAGCGGGUGUUUCUCGUCCGCGCGGGUUCAGCUAAGGCGCCGAGGGACGACGGCGACCGUGGGAGGGGGACAAUCCCCGAUUCUCUUCACCGUGCAGUGACGGCGGACUUGGUUAGGUUGCAAACAGCGGUGCGGAAUCGUUUGCCUACUUUGAGCUUUGGCGCAGAUCCCGGUGUUCCUGGGGCCAGCAGGCGUCCUGGUGCUUUAUACUCACUCCCAGGAAUCCGCAGAGCUCUGACAGUUGGCCCUCGUACCCUCGAGAGGUCUCGGGACUUGCACAAAGACUUGGAACCGACUGACUUUGUGGUCUGGGCUCCACAUCAGGAAACGGACAGACUUGGGCCCGGUAGGUCUUGCCGGUUGAGUUCUUGUUUCCCUCCUCCCUUCCUCCCUUUUAGAUAAAGGUUGCAUAACAGAAAAUCAUUUUAGAGUACAGUUCAGUGGUUUUUGUUGUAUAUUCAGAAAGUUGUGCAAUAAUAACUACUAUCUAACAGAACAUUUUCAUCACCUCUUAUAAGAAACCACCCGCACCAUUAAGUGGUCACUCCGCAUUUCUCCCUCCCCGCCCAGCUCUUGGCAACCAUUGAUUUCUUGGGGGGGGGGGUGUGCAGGUGGAUUUCACAGUAGUUUUUGUCAAAUCAACCAAAAAGUAACCUCGAGGUUGUCACUGACUGUCUCUU